rfam:TPA: Bos taurus chromosome 11, whole genome shotgun sequence.
UCCCACGUGGCUCAGUGGUAAAUAAUCUGCCUGCAAUGCAGGAGACCCAGGUUUGAUCCCUGGGUUGGGAA